UGCGAACUCCUACGGGAGGCAGCAGUGGGGAAUAUUGGACAAUGGGGGCAACCCUGAUCCAGCCAUGCCGCGUGUGUGAAGAAGGCCUUUUGGUUGUAAAGCACUUUAAGCAGUGAAGAAGACUCCAUGGUUAAUACCCAUGGACGAUGACAUUAGCUGCAGAAUAAGCACCGGCUAACUCUGUGCCAGCAGCCGCGGUAAUACAGAGGGUGCAAGCGUUAAUCGGAAUUACUGGGCGUAAAGCGAGCGUAGGUGGCUUGAUAAGUCAGAUGUGAAAGCCCCGGGCUUAACCUGGGAACGGCAUCUGAUACUGUUAGGCUAGAGUAGGUGAGAGGAAGGUAGAAUUCCAGGUGUAGCGGUGAAAUGCGUAGAGAUCUGGAGGAAUACCGAUGGCGAAGGCAGCCUUCUGGCAUCAUACUGACACUGAGGUUCGAAAGCGUGGGUAGCAAACAGGAUUAGAAACCCUAGUAGUCCAGAUG
rnacentral:rRNA from 1 species